CAUGUGUAGCGGUGAAAUGCGCAGAGAUAUGGAGGAACACCAGUGGCGAAGGCGACUUUCUGGUCUGUAACUGACGCUGAUGUGCGAAAGCGUGGGGAUCAAACAGGAUUAGAUACCCUGGUAGUCCACGCCGUAAACGAUGAGUGCUAAGUGUUAGGGGGUUUCCGCCCCUUAGUGCUGCAGCUAACGCAUUAAGCACUCCGCCUGGGGAGUACGACCGCAAGGUUGAAACUCAAAGGAAUUGACGGGGACCCG
rnacentral:rRNA from 1 species